UACGAGGGGGGCGAGCGUUGUUCGGAAUUAUUGGGCGUAAAGGUUGCGUAGGCGGCCUGACAAGUCUGAUGUGAAAUCCCUGGGCUCAACCCAGGGCCUGCAUCGGAAACUGUCGGGCUUGAGUAUGGGGAGAGGUGAGUGGAAUUUCCGGUGUAGCGGUGAAAUGCGUAGAUAUCGGAAGGAACACCUGUGGCGAAAGCGGCUCACUGGACCAUUACUGACGCUGAGGCACGAAAGCUAGGGGAGCAAACAGG
rnacentral:rRNA from 1 species